AGACGAGGGAUCCUAGCGUUGCUCGGAAUCAUUGGGCGUAAAGCGGGUGUAGGUGGCUUUAUAAGUCAGGUGUGAAAGCCCAGGGCUCAACCCUGGAAGUGCAUUUGAUACUGUUUAGCUUGAGUGUGGGAGAGGUUACUGGAAUACCUGGUGUAGUGGUGAAAUACGUAGAUAUCAGGUGGAACACCGGAGGCGAAGGCGGGUAACUGGCCCAACACUGACACUCAGACCCGAAAGCGUGGGGAUCAAACAGGAUUAGAUACCCUGGUAGUCCACGCCAUAAACGAUGGAUACUUGCCGUUGGAGGUAUUGACCCCUUCAGUGGCGUAGCUAACGCGUUAAGUAUCCCGCCUGGGGAGUACGGUCGCAAGAUUAAA
rnacentral:rRNA from 1 species